rnacentral:rRNA from 1 species
GAUGAACGCUGGCGGCGUGCCUAAUACAUGCAAGUCGAGCGAACAGAUGAGGAGCUUGCUCCUCUGACGUUAGCGGCGGACGGGUGAGUAACACGUGGAUAACCUACCUAUAAGACUGGGAUAACUUCGGGAAACCGGAGCUAAUACCGGAUAAUAUAUUGAACCGCAUGGUUCAAUAGUGAAAGACGGUUUUGCUGUCACUUAUAGAUGGAUCCGCGCCGCAUUAGCUAGUUGGUAAGGUAACGGCUUACCAAGGCAACGAUGCGUAGCCGACCUGAGAGGGUGAUCGGCCACACUGGAACUGAGACACGGUCCAGACUCCUACGGGAGGCAGCAGUAGGGAAUCUUCCGCAAUGGGCGAAAGCUUGACGGAGCAACGCCGCGUGAGUGAUGAAGAUCUUCGGAUCGUAAAACUCUGUUAUUAGGGAAGAACAAAUGUGUAAGUAACUAUGCACGUCUUGACGGUACCUAAUCAGAAAGCCACGGCUAACUACGUG